rnacentral:rRNA from 1 species
UACGGAGGGUGCAAGCGUUAAUCGGAAUUACUGGGCGUAAAGCGUGCGUAGACGGUUUUGUAAGUCGGAUGUGAAAUCCCCGGGCUCAACCUGGGAAUUGCAUUCGAGACUGCAAGGCUUGGGUGCGGAAGAGGGAAGCGGAAUUUCCGGUGUAGCGGUGAAAUGCGUAGAUAUCGGAAGGAACAUCAGUGGCGAAAGCGGCUUCCUGGUCCAGCACCGACGUUCAGGCACGAAAGCGUGGGGAGCAAACAGG